rnacentral:rRNA from 1 species
CACGCAGGCGGUUCUGCGCGUUUCGAGUGACAGCGGGUGGCUUAACUGCCCGAGUAUUCGAAAGACGGCAGGACUUGAGGACCAGAGAGGGACACGGAAUUCCGGGUGGAGUGGUGAAAUGCGUAGAGAUCCGGAGGAACACCGAGGGCGAAGGCAGUGUCCUGGCUGGUAACUGACGCUGAGGUGCGAAAGCCAGGGGAGCGAACGGGAUUAGAUACCCCGGUAGUCCUGGCCGUAAACGAUGACCACCAGGUGUGGGAGGGAUCGACCCCUUCCGUGCCGGAGUAAACACACUAAGUGGUCCGCCUGGGGAGUACGGUCGCAAGAUUAAA